UACAGAGGUCUCAAGCGUUGUUCGGAUUCAUUGGGCGUAAAGGGCGCGUAGGCGGCACCGCAAGUCGACUGUGAAAAUCCCCAGCUUAACCUGGGAACUGCAUCCGAUACUGGAUGGCUUGAAUCCGGGGAGAGGGAUGCAGAAUUCCAGGUGAUAGCGGUGAAAUGCGUGGAUAUCUGGAGGAAUGCCGGUGGCGAAGGCGGCAUCCUGGACCGGCAUUGAACGCUGA
rnacentral:rRNA from 1 species